AUAAUAUUUAGAACUUGCUUUCCAAAAUCAGCUUUACUCUAUUCCGAUAUCUCCAUAUCUCAACUUGCAUGUUUAUUGUUUUGGAGAUUUUUCGUCUUAAUGAGUGAUUCACCUUUGUUUAGAACCCUCCCAAGUUAGCUACUCCUCUAUUUGAUACUAAAAUGCCAGAGGACCCUAAGAUGGCAUACACAGACCUAGAUAAUCUUCAAAUGGUGUUUUGAACGAAGAGUAGUGUUUGGUCUUGCAUUGUGAUGGCGUCUGAGUGUUGGCUUGGUCUCUGUUGGCUUGCUAUAUAUCUAGAAAGCUCCAUGAUUUGUGCUAAGCUGAAGCGUAUCCAAUUUGGAUUUUCCAGCUCAAAAUAUCAGUAGAUUUGUUGUGGUAGUGCCUUAACAGGAUUUGAGGCUUCUCCAUUCAGGAAAAGACAAGUCCGGUAGAUACAAAAAUUACAAGAUCACAAGUUUGGAUUGAAGGUCACAAGAAAAAAAAAUGGGAAGCCUAGUACUCAAGCUGUUGGAGAGAAAAUAGUGGACCUAAUUCGCCCAAAUGAUGAAAUGUAGUUUCUCGAUGAUGCAAUAGAAAGCACGGUCGCAUGGUUAUUUAUAUUUAUAGUAUUGUGUGAUUGAUAUAUAUUAUACUAUUUUGUUUG